ensembl:lncRNA
UAACUGUGGUGGACUGGCGCCCUGUCCUGGGUGAGUCCCCGCCUGGCACUCAUGACCCAGAGUAACAGGACCAAACAGUUACGUGAGUGAUUUAAUAUACUGUAAUAUACUGUACUUCGUCUGCGGCUGGCAUUUGUAUGAUAAACAUGCUGCUUUCUGUAUCUCUCAGUUCUCACCUCUGAGAACAGGGCACAGAGGAGCAAACUUAGAAACCAUUCAAGAGCAACACCUGCCAACCACUGAGCUCAGCAAUAGUGUACUGCGUUGUCUGAAUGUACACACAUUUUGAAGAUUUUUCAUUUCGAGGGUAUUUAUCAAAAUCCAAAUACUGUAUGUUCUUACCAUUCAGGCAGUUAUGUGUAUUUUGAAUAGAAUGUUGGAUUUUGUACAGUUCUGGUUCUUUUUUUCUUACUUAAGUGACCUACAAGCCAGGCCUGGAAGAGAAUGUGAAAAUAUUUUCUCUCAUUUCUUAACCUGUGACAUCAUCAUGCAAGUUUUGUCAAAAUACUACUAAAGAUUUCUGAACAGAAGAAGAAAUAGUAUGUCUGUAUGUACCAUAAUACUUGUAUACAUCAAAUCAACACAACAUUCAACCACUUAUCAAGUAACAUACUGAUCAUACUGAGUUUCUUCAGCGCAUCAAUGAAUGAAGUUCAAAAAUCUGCAGCCUGGAGGAUUUACUGUAGAUUUACCACAAGAUUCUGAAUGAACUGUCCCUCAGCAAGACACAUAACCAUGAGUCGCUCCAAUUUCACACACUGCUAGUACAACGGCACCUCUAAUGCGGAUUUUCUUAAAUUUAAAUGAACACCAUAAAGAUCAGUGAUAAGGAAGAAGACAUUACAGUUGACUGUGGGUCUCCACCAUUGUAAAGAACAGGUUCCAGUUUUCCCAUGUCUGAGAACGAGAAAACAGACAUUAGUACAUCGCAGUGGUCUAACUUCACUUCUUCAUCAUUUCCCAGCCUCGGCAGACAGGAACAGCAGAAGGGAAAAGGGGCCGGAAAGAAAAGACAUAUGAGGUGCAUUCAGACGACUACGAAUCCCUGGAAAUGAGGCGCCUG